rnacentral:rRNA from 1 species
AGGUCAAGCUACUAAGGGCGUGCGGUGGAUGCCUUGGCGCCAAGAGCCGAUGAAGGACGUGGCAGGCGACGAAAUGCUUCGGGGAGCUGCGAGCAAGCGUUAUCACCCGGAGAUAUCCGAAUGGGGAAACCCACCUGGGGUAAUGCCCGGGUACGUUCGACUGAAUUCAUAGGUCGAUCGAGGAAACCGAGGGAACUGAAACAUCUAAGUACCUCGAGGAGUAGACAGACAUUCCGUUAGUAGUGGCGAGCGAAAGCGGAGGAGCCCAAACCCCGGUUGCGUGACAGGUUGCAGCCGUUGCAGUCGGGGUGUUGUAGGGCCGGCCCGCGGUGCACUGCACUGCCCGCAGGGAGUUACAAAUCGGUUCGCUAGCAGAAGUGGCAUGGAAAGGCCAGCCGUAGAGGGUGACAGCCCCGUAAGCGAAAGCGACACCGACUCCCGGUCGAGUCCCUGAGUACCACGUGGAAGGUCUCUCAUGUGGGAACCCGGGCGGACCACCGUCCAAGGCUAAAUACUCUUGGCGACCGAUAGUGAACCAGUACCGUGAGGGAAAGGUGAAAAGCACCCCGGGAGGGGAGUGAAAUAGUACCUGAAACCGCAUGCCUACAAGCAGUCAAAGGGUGUUGCCCGGGGGCUUCGGUCGCCGGGUAGCCUGAUGGCGUGCCUUUUGAAGAAUGAGCCGGCGAGUUACUCGUAGGUGGCGAGGUUAAGUCCGUGAAGGACGAAGCCGCAGCGAAAGCGAGUCUGAAUAGGGCGAUUGAGUCGCCGCGAGUAGACCCGAAACCGAGUGAGCUACCCAUGGGCAGGUUGAAGCGGGAGUAAUGUCCCGUGGAGGACCGAACUCACUAGCGUUGAAAAGCUAGGGGAUGACCUGUGGGUAGAGGUGAAAUGCCAAUCGAACUCGGAGAUAGCUGGUUCUCCCCGAAAUAGCUUUAGGGCUAGCCUCGGGGGUUCAGUCACGGGGGUAGAGCACUGAAUGGGCUAGGGGGCUUACCGCUUACCAAACCCAAUCAAACUCCGAAUCCCGUGAUUCCAUACCCCGGGAGUCAGACUGCGAGGGCUAAGCUUCGUGGUCAAGAGGAAAACAGUCCGGACCGACAGCUAAGGUCCCAAAAUCCAGGCUAAGUGGGGAAGGAUGUGGAGUUGCACAGACAACCAGGAUGUUGGCUCAGAAGCAGCCACCAUUUAAAGAGUGCGUAAUAGCUCACUGGUCAAGUGAUUCCGCGCCGAAGAUCCAACGGGGCUCAAGCCUGGUACCGAAGCUUCGGAUCGUGCGCACCUUCGGGUGCGGCGGUGGUAGGGGAGCGUUCCGUCAGCAGUGAAGGUCGACCGUGAGGACGGCUGGAGUGGGCGGAAGUGCGAAUGCCGGCAUGAGUAGCGAAAUGCACGCGAGAAACGUGCACGCCGUAUGUCUAAGGUUUCCUGAGGAAGGUUAAUCCGCUCAGGGUUAGUCGGGCCUAAGCCGAGGGCGAGAGCCGUAGGCGAUGGACAAUCGGUUGAUAUUCCGAUACCGCCAGAGAUCGUUUGCACCGUAAGGUGCCUGGUUCGUGGACGUGGUGAGCUGAGGCGACUUCGGUUGUCGAGGCAGCCAAUGUGAAGCGGGCCUGGGAGCAAGGGCGUGACCGGGAACGGUAGGUUGAGCGCACUGUUGGCUAUGUGCGUCUAAGCCGGUAGGGGGAGAGGACAGGCAAAUCCGUCCUCUCAUUCAACUCCGAGCAGCGAAUGAAAGGCGAAAGCUGAUUCGACUGAGCCGAUCCUGCAAGAAAAGCGUCUAGCGAGAUCAAAGGCGUCCGUACCGCAAACCGACGCAGGUAGACGGGUAGAGCAUACCAAGGCGAUCGGAAGAACCCUCGUUAAGGAACUCGGCAAAUUGACCCCGUAACUUCGGGAGAAGGGGUGCCUCGCAGUGGCUCACUUCGCGUGAGAGGCUGAUCGAGGCCGCAGUGAAAUGGCCCAGGCGACUGUUUAGCAAAAACACAGGUCUCUGCUAAAGCGAAAGCUGACGUAUAGGGGCUGACGCCUGCCCAGUGCCGGAAGGUUAAGAAGAGGGGUGCAAGCCCUGAAUUGAAGCCCCGGUAAACGGCUGCCGUAACUAUAACGGUACUAAGGUAGCGAAAUUCCUUGUCGGGUAAGUUCCGACCCGCACGAAUGGCGUAACGAUCUGGGCGCUGUCUCAACGAGGGAUCCGGCGAAAUUGAAAUACCUGUGAAGAUGCAGGUUACCCGCGGCAGGGCAAAAAGACCCCAUGGAGCUUUACUGCAGUUUGAUAUUGGACUGAGGUUCAGGAUGUGUAGGAUAGGUGGGAGACUGGGAAGCUGGGGCGCCAGCCUCGGUGGAGUCAACGUUGAAAUACCACCCUUUUUGGAUUUCGGCUCUAACAGCGUCCCGUAAUCCGGGCGCUGGACAGUGUCUGAUGGGCAGUUUGACUGGGGCGGUCGCCUCCUAAAGUGUAACGGAGGCGCCCAAAGGUACCCUCAGGCUGAAUGGAAACCAGCCGAAGAGUGCAAAGGCAUAAGGGUGCUUGACUGCGAGACUUACACGUCGAGCAGAGACGAAAGUCGGGCUUAGUGAUCUGGUACCUCCGAGUGGAAGGGGUAUCACUCAACGGAUAAAAGCUACCCUGGGGAUAACAGGCUUAUGGUGCCCAAGAGUUCACAUCGACGGCACCGUUUGGCACCUCGAUGUCGGCUCGUCGCAUCCUGGGGCGGAAGUACGUCCCAAGGGUUUGGCUGUUCGCCAAUUAAAGCGGUACGCGAGCUGGGUUCAGAACGUCGUGAGACAGUUCGGUCUCUAUCCGCCGUGGGCGUAGGGAACUUGAGAGGAGCUGCUCCUAGUACGAGAGGACCGGAGUGGACGAACCAAUGUUGUGCCAGUUGUCGCGCCAGCGGCAUUGCUGGGUAGGUAUGUUCGGAUGGGAUAAGCACUGAAAGCAUCUAAGUGCGAAGCUCGCCUCAAGAUGAGGUUCCCCACCGGGUAACCGGGUAAGACCGCAGCGAGACUAGCUGUUUGAUAGGCCGCACGUGCAAGCGCAGUGAUGCGUUCAGCGAAGCGGUACUAAUGGUCGAGGGCUUGACCUAAUUUCAC